rnacentral:rRNA from 1 species
AGUGAACGCUGGCGGUAGGCCUAACACAUGCAGGUCGAACGGCAGCACAGUAAGAGCUUGCUCUUACGGGUGGCGAGUGGCGGACGGGUGAGGAAUACAUCGGAAUCUACUAUUUCGUGGGGGAUAACGUAGGGAAACUUACGCUAAUACCGCAUACGACCUACGGGUGAAAGCAGGGGAUCUUCGGACCUUGCGCGAUUGAAUGAGCCGAUGUCGGAUUAGCUAGUUGGCGGGGUAAAGGCCCACCAAGGCGACGAUCCGUAGCUGGUCUGAGAGGAUGAUCAGCCACACUGGAACUGAGACACGGUCCAGACUCCUACGGGAGGCAGCAGUGGGGAAUAUUGGACAAUGGGCGCAAGCCUGAUCCAGCCAUACCGCGUGGGUGAAGAAGGCCUUCGGGUUGUAAAGCCCUUUUGUUGGGAAAGAAAAGCAGCAGGUUAAUACCCCGCUGUUCUGACGGUACCCAAAGAAUAAGCACCGGCUAACUUCGUG